GACGUAGGGCGCGAGCGUUGUCCGGAUUUAUUGGGCGUAAAGAGCUCGUAGGCGGCUUGUCGCGUCGUUCGUGAAAACCUGUGGCUCAACUACAGGCUUGCGGUCGAUACGGGCAGGCUGGAGUUCGGUAGGGGAGUCUGGAAUUCCUGGUGUAGCGGUGAAAUGCGCAGAUAUCAGGAGGAACACCGGUGGCGAAGGCGGGACUCUGGGCCGAUACUGACGCUGAGGAGCGAAAGCGUGGGGAGCAAACAGG
rnacentral:rRNA from 1 species